rnacentral:rRNA from 1 species
CUACGGGCCGCUGCAGUGGGGAAUAUUGCACAAUGGGCGCAAGCCUGAUGCAGCCAUGCCGCGUGUAUGAAGAAGGCCUUCGGGUUGUAAAGUACUUUCAGCGGGGAGGAAGGGAGUAAAGUUAAUACCUUUGCUCAUUGACGUUACCCGCAGAAGAAGCACCGGCUAACUCCGUGCCAGCAGCCGCGGUAAUACGGAGGGUGCAAGCGUUAAUCGGAAUUACUGGGCGCAAAGCGCACGCAGGCGGUUUGUUAAGUCAGAUGUGAAAUCCCCGGGCCCAACCUGGGAACUGCAUCUGAUACUGGCAAGCUUGAGUCUCGUAGAGGGGGGUAGAAUUCCAGGUGUAGCGGUGAAAUGCGUAGAGAUCUGGAGGAAUACCGGUGGCGAAGGCGGCCCCCUGGACGAAGACUGACGCUCAGGUGCGAAAGCGUGGGGAGCAAACAGGAUUAGAUACCCUUGUAGUC